ACACAUGCAAGUCGAGGGGCAGCAUGAUUGAAGCUUGCUUCAAUUGAUGGCGACCGGCGCACGGGUGAGUAACGCGUAUCCAACCUUCCGUACACUCAGGGAUAGCCUUUCGAAAGAAAGAUUAAUACCUGAUGGUAUGAUGAGAUUGCAUGAUAGCAUCAUUAAAGAUUUAUCGGUGUACGAUGGGGAUGCGUUCCAUUAGGUAGUAGGCGGGGUAACGGCCCACCUAGCCUACGAUGGAUAGGGGUUCUGAGAGGAAGGUCCCCCACAUUGGAACUGAGACACGGUCCAAACUCCUACGGGAGGCAGCAGUGAGGAAUAUUGGUCAAUGGACGAGAGUCUGAACCAGCCAAGUAGCGUGAAGGAUGAAGGUCUUACGGAUUGUAAACUUCUUUUAUAAGGGAAUAAAACCUCCCACGUGUGGGAGCUUGUAUGUACCUUAUGAAUAAGCAUCGGCUAACUCCGUGCCAGCAGCCGCGGUAAUACGGAGGAUGCGAGCGUUAUCCGGAUUUAUUGGGUUUAAAGGGAGCGCAGACGGGUCGUUAAGUCAGCUGUGAAAGUUUGGGGCUCAACCUUAAAAUUGCAGUUGAUACUGGCGUCCUUGAGUGCGGUUGAGGUGUGCGGAAUUCGUGGUGUAGCGGUGAAAUGCUUAGAUAUCACGAAGAACUCCGAUUGCGAAGGCAGCACACUAAGCCGUAACUGACGUUCAUGCUCGAAAGUGUGGGUAUCAAACAGGAUUAGAUACCCUGGUAGUCCACACGGUAAACGAUGGAUACUCGCUGUUGGCGAUAUACUGUCAGCGGCUUAGCGAAAGCGUUAAGUAUCCCACCUGGGGAGUACGCCGGCAACGGUGAAACUCAAAGGA
rnacentral:rRNA from 1 species